rnacentral:rRNA from 1 species
UACGAAGGGGGCAAGCGUUGUUCGGAAUUAUUGGGCGUAAAGGGCGCGUAGGCGGUGCGGUAAGUCUGCAGUGAAAUCUCUGGGCUCAACUCAGAGUCUGCUGUAGAAACUGCCGUGCUUGAGUGUGGGAGAGGUGAGUGGAAUUCCCGGUGUAGCGGUGAAAUGCGCAGAUAUCGGGAAGAACACCCGUGGCGAAGGCGGCUCUCUGGGACGGUACUGACGCUGAGACGCGAAAGCGUGGGGAGCGAACAGG